CAUUCUUUUAAACAUUAUCUCCAAUUCCAGAAACCCAGUUCACCAAAAAAGCUCUUUAAAUUCCUGCCGAGGCUGCUGCCUGGAUCAUGGGUGCUAGAAGGGAAGUGCAGGGCCCAGCCCUGAAUGCUGUGACUCCUGGGAAACUGGAGGAAGGGCACUGACCCCAAACUCUGCUCCCAAGGACAGGGAGGCAGACUAAGGUCACAGGUUCCCUCAUUCCACCAGAUGGUCGGCUCCCUCGGGCCAUCCCGCAGGACCCCUGAAGCACCCUCCAAGCGUUGGUUAGAAACCCCAGCUGAGAACCGUUUACACGUCCUUCUAAAAAGAUCCUGCUCCUGGAUUUGACAAGCCCAAAUUUGGGCAUCCCUUCGACCUCCAGCUUGCAGCUGACACCUGACCACAGAACCACGCACAGGAUCCCGUGAUCAGUAGCAGGGGGUUCUGCGGGCGAAGGAGCUACCCUGUGGCUAAGGAGACACCCGUGGUUCUCAGCAGGCCGCCACUGGCAUCUGAGACAAGACGGUUCCACCCAGUGCGGGCCUGCCCGGCACACUGGGGACAUGCAGCUGUCCCGGCCUCAGGGCUGUCAAGGCCACAACGUGACAACCACAACUGCCACCACGCACUGUCACACUGCCCCUAGGAGCAGCACUGCCCAGCCGAGGGUGACAGGUGCAGCACCCAAGUAGACCCGCCCAGGUCAGGCCCAAGCUGGGGCCCGUGCCCCUCCUCCUACGGGGCUGGUACCCCCGGGGCAUCAUCUAUGGACCCUCGAGUCUCUCUCCAGCAUCACCCCCAUCACAACGGCUGCUGGCUGCUGCAGUAACAUCUCCCUGGGUGGGACAACAGCUCACAUUCCUCAAAGGUUGCCGCAACACAUCAGCUUCUUCCUUUUCCUUAUUUCUUUUAGCCAGUUCCAUCUAUUUCAUUUUUUGGCCAUACCGCCAGCAUGCAGAAGUUCCUAGGCCAGGGUUCAAACAUGUGCCACAGCAGUGACAACACUGGAUCCUUAACCACUGAGCUACCAGGGAGCUCCAUCGUCAAGUUCUUUUUUGAAGACCUUAACCACCCCCCCUGCCCAGUGCCAGCUCCUCCACAACCCCAGGCCUGGGUAAACAGGGAACGAUAAAGCCUUCCUGCUUGCUAUUCAAACAGCCACUCUUCAAGGGAGUUCCCCGCUGGCCUAGUGGUUAAGGAUUCAGCGUUGUCACUGCCGUGGCGUGGGUUCAAUCCCUAGACCCAGAACUUUCUCAUGCCAUGGACACCAAAACUUCUAUGGUUGUAUCCCUCACAAAGUAAAUUAAAAAUAACAAAAAUUAUUCAAUUAUUCAAUGUUUUAAAAAAAAUCUCAAAGAGCCACAGUCCACAGUUUUUCCUCUUAGAGGUUCCAGCGUGUUACCACCAACCCCUGUCAGGUACCUGGCUGUCCCCACGGCUGGAGGAUUGCAUGGUCACCUCACGAGGGGUUUGAGUUUUUUUCAAAUGGCUGCCAUUAAUAUUUGCAUCUAUUUCACACUCAGUCCCUUAAAAACAGAAAACAUAGACCAUCCGCCUGCUUUAUGAUGAAAUCCAGUAUAAAUGUGGGGUCACAAAGCACGCUUUCAGACUCAGGACCUCGGCUUACAGAGAAUAACCUCAGAGCGGGUGUCUCUUUGAGCAGCAGCCUCCCUCCGGCCUCAUCACAGGUCUCAGGCAUGGAACGAGCUUUGGGAAGCGCUGUGUGGGCCGCAAAGGCCUAUGGGAAAGGCGGCGGUCAGUCCGUACUUAUUCACCAUUGUCACGGUACAGGGCCAUCGUCACUGGACAAAAUCUAGACCAUCCAAGAGUUCCCUGAUGGUGCACCCAGUUAAGGAUCUGGUGGUGUCGCUGCUGUGGCACAGGUUCGAUCCCUGGCCCGGGAACUUCCGCAUGCCAUGGGUACAGCCAAAAAGUAAAAAUAAAAAUAAAUUUUAAUUAUUUUUAAAUCUAAAGUAUCUCAUAUCUGCUCAGAAACAGAGAAGGCACCUUUCACAAGGACGCUGAUUCAAAGAUUCUCUCUUGAUUGUUCUUCUUUUACCCUGCAGUUGAGCUGUCACCAGUGGGUAUUUCAGAAGCACCACAGCCAAAAUAUGAGGGGCCAAAGAAGUAAAAAAAAAAAAAAGAGAGAGAGAGAGAGAGAAAGAAAAGGCAGAAAACACAAAAAGAUAGCUUUUACCAAUUAAUAAGCUGAUUUCUGUACUUGAAAGUGCCCUAAACACAGGCAUGCGAAAACAUCUACCUUACAGAGCAGGUGUCACUCACUCUAAGCGUGAAAGCACCCUUUGAUGCACUUGGAGCUACUCAAAGAGACACCCGGAAAGUGGGCAAGGAGCACCCUGCCAACCACCGGCUUCACCCAGCACCUACACAGAAGCCGCUGCCACCUCCCAGGAAGCAGAAGGAAAGGAGGAAACAGCCUAUGACGGGUACUUUGCUGUGUCAACGUCUCUGGGCCACAGUGCUUAGCUACUGGAUCAAACAUCAUUCUGGAUAUUUCUGCGAAGGUGCGUUUCGGAAGAGUAAGGCUGAACCGGGCAGACAAUGAGGACAACAGACCCCCGCAACGGUGGGGGCCUUCAGAGAAAAGCCUGAGAUCCUCCAAGUGAGAAGGAAUCCUGCCGGCAGGUGGCCCUUGGACUUGCAAGGGACCGUCUACUGCCCCCCUUCGUAUUCCAGACUUCCACCUCCACAAUUACGGAAGUCAGCUGCACAAAGUAAAUCUAUUUCUCCAUCUGCUAAGAAAAAAAGGGAAAGAAAAAGAGGAAACAAGUACUUCCACAUUCUUACCAUUAAUAAGAAAAACAAAGGGGAGAAGUUACACCCAGAGUCACCAUAGGACCCGACAAUUCGUUUCUAAGCCAAUCCACCAAAGAGCUGAAAACCACCGGCAACUCAAGUACCUUCACAGCCACACGUGUAAAGGCAGCAGCUCUGCUCACAACAGCCAAGAGGUGGAACCAACCCAAACGCACAACCAUCGACGAGCGGACAAACACGGUUACGGCCAUACAAUGGGUGUUAUCACUCCCAGCCAUUAAAAAGCAAAGUACGGACACUGACGUGUCACCCCGCUCGGAUGAACCCCAAGACCAUCGGAGUGCAAGAAGGCAGAUGCCAAGGUCCGCAGUGUCUGAGUCCACUUAUUUGAAACGUCCAGACUCGGAGAAGCCACAGAGACAGCAGCAGACGGGUGGCUGCCAAGGACUUGGUGGCGGGGGCGAGGGGGGGACCGGGGCGUGACUGCUGAGGGUAUGGAGGGCACGGCCUUUCCCUCUGGGGCCAUGAAACGGCUGCGGAACUGGACGGAGGUGGUGGCCGCACACCCCUGGAAAUGCGCCCCAUGCCACUGAAGCGCUCACUUCCAGAGUUAAUUCCAUGCUGGGCGCAGGUGCGAUGCGCCUCAACCACAAAAGCAACAACCGCAAAAAAACGGCAACAACAAAAGCGCCACAUCACUCACAGAGACCCUGCCGGAAGGCUGCUGUGCCCGAGGCAGAGGCUUUGGAAAAAAAAGGACACGGUCUGAGGCCUCAGGGCGCAGGAGAUGAAGGUCACCUGACCAGGACGCAAGGCAUCGCCUGGGCGACCUUCAGGCAGCGACAGCGGCCUCAUCACCCCCACACACUUGUCUGACCCAGUGGGAGGACUUCCGGGGGCUCCCACGACACCGCCUGCAAGGAGACGAGGGGACCGGCUCCCAGCAGCCCUCAGGUCCCAGGAGAAGAAAGUUCUCCUUCUGGAAUCCUUUUCGCUGGGGCAGCUCGGACCCCGCACACCCUGAUCUGCGAGUUGCACUUCGGCCGGAAACAUGGACCCCUGUGACAAGAGGGGACAAGAGGUGACGAGAGGUGGGCCUCAAUUGUUUCCUGGUUUCCUUUCCAAGAUUAUCAAAUUGGUACCUUUGAACUUUAGCCAGGAAUAAUAAAAUCCUGAAUUCUUCUAGGACUUGGAUUGUCAGAGAAAAGGAAGCAAUUUUAAGAUAUGUAUUUAUAUACCUAGAUACGGAUGCAUAAUAUGCAUUAUCUGUAUCAUAGCUCAGUAGACAAAAUUACACUGUAUGUGUCUAAUCUUUCUCAACCGUGAAAAACUAUCAAGCUUUAACACAAGUAUUUGUUCAAGCAGCGCACUACGAUUUUGGUGAAAAUAUACACAUUGCGAAGAAUUACAUCUCAGGUUCAACUGCAGAAUUCAGUGGCAGUGGGGACUCUCACUGUUAUUUAAAGGUCUCCGUUGCGUCUCUGGCUUCUCUCAAAGAUGCCCAGUAGGGCCAGCAGGUCACAGGAUGUGGGGGGAGGCGGUCCAGGCACAGCUCCAGGCUCCAUGGCUGUCACGCUCAGGCCUUUGGAGCCCAGUUCAGACACAGGGUGAGCUGCCUCGCAAGACGUGGCUUCUCCGAUGAAGCCUCCACUGGCCGGGGGCCCCUGGGGUGGUCCCUGGCUGGGGUGGUCCCUGGCUGGGGUGGUCCCUGCAAACCCGUCCUCAGCAACCGGAGCCCCGCCCCCAAUAGCCGGACUCACACCAGGUCAGCGUGGGUUUCUUCAAUCCGUACAAAAGCAAUCUAUCAGGUGGGAGCCCACAGACCUGAGGCUUUUGUGUGGCACUGAAUGAGGGUGACACGUCAACA
rnacentral:lncRNA from 1 species